UACAGAGGUCCCAAGCGUUGUUCGGAUUCAUUGGGCGUAAAGGGUGCGUAGGUGGCGCCGUAAGUCGGGUGUGAAAUUUCGGAGCUUAACUCCGAAACUGCAUUCGAUACUGCGGUGCUUGAGGACUGGAGAGGAGACUGGAAUUCAUGGUGUAGCAGUGAAAUGCGUAGAGAUCAUGAGGAAGACCAGUGGCGAAGGCGGGUCUCUGGACAGUUCCUGACACUGAUGCACGAAGGCCAGGGGAGCAAACAGG
rnacentral:rRNA from 1 species